AUAUCAAUAAGCGGAGGAAAAGAAACUAACAAGGAUUCCCCUAGUAACUGCGAGUGAAGCGGGAAAAGCUCAAAUUUAAAAUCUGGUGGUCUUUGGCCAUCCGAGUUGUAAUUUAGAGAAGCGUCUUCCGCGCUGGACCGUGCAUAAGUCUCCUGGAAUGGAGCGUCAUAGAGGGUGACAAUCCCGUUCAUGGCUAAUAGCAAAGGUUACGUACGGCUACCGCUGUAGUGAGUCGCGUUCCUUGGGAUUGGAGCGUAAAAGGGUGGUAGAUUCCAUCCAAGGCUAAAUAUAAACACGAGACCGAUAGCGCACAAGUA
rnacentral:rRNA from 1 species